CCCCUGUGUUUGCUGUAU
rnacentral:miRNA from 1 species